rnacentral:rRNA from 1 species
AACGAACGCUGGCGGCAGGCCUAACACAUGCAAGUCGAGCGGAUCCUUCGGGAUUAGCGGCGGACGGGUGAGUAACGCGUGGGAAUAUGCCCUUCUCUACGGAAUAGCCUCGGGAAACUGGGAGUAAUGCCGUAUACGCCCUACGGGGGAAAGAUUUAUCGGAGAAGGAUAGCCCGCGUUGGAUUAGGUAGUUGGUGGGGUAAUGGCCUACCAAGCCUACGAUCCAUAGCUGGUUUGAGAGGAUGAUCAGCCACACUGGGACUGAGACACGGCCCAGACUCCUACGGGAGGCAGCAGUGGGGAAUCUUAGACAAUGGGGGAAACCCUGAUCUAGCCAUGCCGCGUGAGUGAUGAAGGCCUUAGGGUUGUAAAGCUCUUUCAGCUGGGAAGAUAAUGACGGUACCAGCAGAAGAAGCCCCGGCUAACUCCGUGCCAGCAGCCGCGGUAACAC